rnacentral:rRNA from 1 species
UACGAAGGGGGCUAGCGUUGCUCGGAAUCACUGGGCGUAAAGCGCACGUAGGCGGCUUACUAAGUCAGGGGUGAAAUCCUGGAGCUCAACUCCAGAACUGCCUUUGAUACUGGUGAGCUUGAGUCCGGAAGAGGUGAGUGGAACUGCGAGUGUAGAGGUGAAAUUCGUAGAUAUUGCAAGAACACCAGUGGCGAAGGCGGCUCACUGGUCCGGUACUGACGCUGAGGUGCGAAAGCGUGGGGAGCAAACAGGAU